rnacentral:rRNA from 1 species
CCUACGGGUGGCAGCAGUGAGGAAUAUUGGUCAAUGGGCGCGAGCCUGAACCAGCCAAGUAGCGUGAAGGAUGACUGCCCUACGGGUUGUAAACUUCUUUUAUAAAAGAAUAAAGUGAGGCACGUGUGCCUUUUUGUAUGUACUUUAUGAAUAAGGAUCGGCUAACGCCGUGCCAGCAGCCGCGGUAAUACGGAGGAUCCGAGCGUUAUCCGGAUUUAUUGGGUUUAAGGGGAGCGUAGAUGGGUUGUUAAGUCAGUUGUGAAAGUUUGCGGCUCAACCGUAAAAUUGCAAUUGAUACUGGCAGCCUUGAGUACAGUUGAGGUAGGCGGAAUUCGUAGUGUAGCGGUGAAAUGCUUAGAUAUCACGAAGAACUCCGAUUGCGAAGGCAGCUUACUAAACUGUCACUGACAUUGAUGCUCGAAAGUGUGGGUAUCAAACAGGAUUAGAUACCCCAUUAGUC